rnacentral:rRNA from 1 species
UGGGGAAUCUUCCGCAAUGGACGAAAGUCUGACGGAGCAACGCCGCGUGAGUGAAGAAGGUUUUCGGAUCGUAAAACUCUGUCUUUUGGGGCGAACGUGAGUAUGGUGAACAAUCAUAGUCAGUGACGGUACCAAAGGAGGAAGCCACGGCUAACUACGUGCCAGCAGCCGCGGUAAUACGUAGGUGGCAAGCGUUGUCCGGAAUUAUUGGGCGUAAAGAGCGCGUAGGCGGGAUAGUCAGUCUGUUGUAAAGUGCGGGGCUCAACCCCGUGAUCGCAAUGGAAACAGCUAUUCUUGAGUGCAGGAGAGGAAAGUGGAAUUCCCAGUGUAGCGGUGAAAUGCGUAGAUAUUGGGAGGAACACCAGUGGCGAAGGCGACUUUCUGGACUGUGUCUGACGCUGAGGCGCGAAAGCCAGGGGAGCGAACGGGAUUAGAUACCCCGGUAGUCCACGCCGUAAACGAUGAGCACUAGGUGUAGGAGGUAUCGACCCCUUCUGUGCCGCAGUUAACACAAUAAGUACUCCGCCUGGGAAGUACGAUCGCAAGAUUAAAACUCAAAUGAAUUGAC